GGGCGCGUAGCUCAGUGGUAGAGCACACCCUUCACACGGGUGGGGUCGUAGGUUCGAACCCUACCGCGCCCACCA
rnacentral:tRNA from 1 species